rnacentral:rRNA from 1 species
UGCAGUCGAACGGCAGCACGGACUUCGGUCUGGUGGCGAGUGGCGCAUGGGUGAGUAAUAUAUCGGAACGUGCCCAGUCGUGGGGGAUAACGUAGUGAAAAUUACGCUAAUACCGCAUACGAUCUAAGGAUGAAAGCGGGGGAUCGCAAGACCUCGCGCGAUUGGAGCGGCCGAUAUCAGAUUAGGUAGUUGGUGAGGUAAAGGCUCACCAAGCCAACGAUCUGUAGCUGGUCUGAGAGGACGACCAGCCACACUGGAACUGAGACACGGUCCAGACUCCUACGGGAGGCAGCAGUGGGGAAUUUUGGACAAUGGACGCAAGUCUGAUCCAGCCAUUCCGCGUGCAGGACGAAGGCCUUCGGGUUGUAAACUGCUUUUGUACAGAACGAAAAGGUCUCUAUUAAUACUAGGGGCUCAUGACGGUACUGUAAGAAUAAGCACCGGCUAACUACGUGCCUGCAGCCGCGGUAAUACGUAGGGUGCAAGCGUUAAUCGGAAUUACUGGGCGUAAAGCGUGCGCAGGCGGUUAUAUAAGACAGAUGUGAAAUCCCCGGGCUCAACCUGGGAACUGCAUUUGUGACUGUAUAGCUGGAGUGCGGCAGAGGGGGAUGGAAUUCCGCGUGUAGCAGUGAAAUGCGUAGAUAUGCGGAGGAACACCGAUGGCGAAGGCAAUCCCCUGGGCCUGCACUGACGCUCAUGCACGAAAGCGUGGGGAGCAAACAGGAUUAGAUACCCUGGUAGUCCACGCCCUAAACGAUGUCAACUGGUUGUUGGGUCUUCACUGACUCAGUAACGAAGCUAACGCGUGAAGUUGACCGCCUGGGGAGUA